rfam:Paenibacillus sp. FSL R5-0912, complete genome.
AUCUUAUCAAGAGCAGGUGGAGGGACUAGCCCGAUGAAACCCGGCAACCGGCGUGUGAACGCACGGUGCUAAUUCUUGCGGAAGCUUUGCAGGACGUUAUUUGUCCGGCGGAAGUUCUCUGGCAGAUGAGAG